CUGAGCCUUGGCUGGUUUGCUCAGCACGGUAUCUGGAAUUGAUAUGAAAUAUUAAGAAGCUUAUUUUGGUUGCUGGAAGAUAGGAGAGAACACAGGGUUUAAAUGAACUGGUCUGAAGGUGUGAGACUGAAUGCAGGAGAAGUUAGGAGCCAGAUCCCCAGCUAACACUCUCAGUCUGUCCCUAGGAAAAGCCCGUGAGCACAUAAAGCCAGAAGGAACUGAAAGCUGUGAAGAGAGGAAGGUGGUUGGCAGCCCGGGAGCGCUAGCUGUGCUACUUCUGUCACUGCACUGCUGCAUUUUUGAGGACAGAUGCAUUAGCUCAAGAGGCACAAGAUGUCAGCUCUCACAGCCACGUAGACAAGCGAGCUGGCACCGAUGCUGCAGGGGAGCUCUUCGGCUGGGCUGGAAAGAGGACUGCAAGAUUCACAGGGAUUGUUCAAUACAGCUGUUAAAGCACAGCGAGGGAUAAAGCCUUCUUGAAACCUCUGUAAGUCACUGGGUACGUCUUUUGAUUUGGAAUCUUUCUGAACGAUGGUCACCUAUGGCUCCUUUGCAGCUCUCUGUUGCAUAAAAAGGGCCUUCAAAUGUCACCCAUUUUACCUGACACGAUCCUUUCUUCAGCAUUCAUCCUUCAUGACCACAAUGUAUGUGUUCAAGAUGACAGAAACACCCAACAGUGUGUGCUCAGUUCUGAUGGAGUCAUUUUUUAGGUGUUAUUAUUGAUAAUAAAGUAAAAAAAAAAAGAACACUGGCUUUCAAAUCAGAAACAACCUUGUAGUUUUAAGAAGCCAUUCUGGUUAGCUGAAUGAGCAGAGCCAAAGAAUUUGAAGGAAAUGUAAAUGUCCUUGCAAGACACUUCAAUCCAAUCCUAGCAGCACUGUAAAAUCAGGACUAUAAGAGA